UAACUUUGUUUUUUUUAUCAUACAGAAACUCUUUUACGAGAUCAUAUACCACGUGUGGUUGUUUUUCAUAUGUCUUGUGCUAUUCUAUGUCUGAAAAAUCCAACUGUUAAGUCAUCUAUAAAGCAAAUAGGUUAUUACAUCUGUACCAAGUUUGUGUCGGAAGAUGACAAGAUUGAACAUCGAUCUGCACCUCCAUGACAAUUAUCUUCUUGGAAAUCUUCAAUUCCAUGGGGUAGAUCUGUGAGGUGAACAUUAUCUAUUCACUUGAUAUUGUUUUGACUUGUAUAUUACGAAACGACUUUUAAAAGAAGAUACACAAAACAAUUGGACGUGUAAAUGAAGAGAUAAUUAACUCAUGGAUAUAUCUGCUUCGAACCUAAUAACACACACAAGAACCGUCUAAACUAUAUGCCCAGAAGCCCACAGUAGUUGAAUCUCUCAUGUGUGUUUAUUUAUGUCCAACAUUGAAGCGGGACAAAAGAUUUUUACUGCUAGAGACUUUUUUUGGUCGGUUCAAAUCGAAUAUACCAGUUUAUACAGAUACUGCCUAACUCUGGUAUCACGUACACAUAUUGGACUAUUAUAUUAUUCCAGUAUAUUAAUUCAACGCAGAAACAAUGGCGCGGGGAAAAGUAAACAAACACCGACCAGGAGACGGAAGUGCGACCCAGCCUAAGUCGCACCACGCCUGCUCCAAAGUCUUUCGGUUUAUAUAUUUAUAUUUUUUUAACGGUCUUUGAACUUAAAAAUAUAUUUAAUUUUAUUUCGCAACGA